AGUAGCGAAGGUCAUGAUCUCAGACUGCCAAGAAAAGCCUCUAGCCAGGAGAAGGUGCCCGUACCGCAAACCGACACAGGUAGGCGAGAAGAGAAUUCUAAGGCGCGCGGAAGAACUCUCGUUAAGGAACUCGGCAAAAUGACCCCGUAACUUCGGGAGAAGGGGUGCCUCGGUAGGGUGAAUAGCCCGAGGGGGCCGCAGUGAAAAGGCCCAAGCGACUGUUUAGCAAAAACACAGGUCUGUGCGAAGCCGCAAGGCGAAGUAUACGGGCUGACGCCUGCCCGGUGCUGGAAGGUUAAGGGGAGUGGUAAGCUCGCAAGAGCGAAGCUAUGAACCGAAGCCCCAGUAAACGGCGGCCGUAACUAUAACGGUCCUAAGGUAGCGAAAUUCCUUGUCAGGUAAAUUCUGACCCGCACGAAUGGCGUAACGACUUGGGCGCUGUCUCAACGAGAGAUCCGGUGAAAUUUUAAUACCUGUGAAGAUGCAGGUUACCCGCGACAAGACGGAAAGACCCCAUGGAGCUUUACUGCAGCUUGAUAUUGAAUUUGGGUACGAUCUGUACAGGAUAGGUGGGAGCCGUUGAACCUUGAGCGCCAGCUUGAGGGGAGGCAUCCUUGGGAUACCACCCUGAUCGUAUCUAGGUUCUAACUUGGUACCGUGAUCCGGUACGAGGACAGUGUCAGGUGGGCAGUUUGACUGGGGCGGUCGCCUCCUAAAGAGUAACGGAGGCGCCCCAAGGUUCCCUCAGAAUGGUUGGAAAUCAUUCGAAGAGUGCAAAGGCAGAAGGGAGCUUGACUGCGAGACCUACAAGUCGAGCAGGGACGAAAGUCGGGCUUAGUGAUCCGGUGGUACCGCAUGGAAGGGCCAUCGCUCAACGGAUAAAAGCUACCCUGGGGAUAACAGGCUUAUCUCCCCCAAGAGUCCACAUCGACGGGGAGGUUUGGCACCUCGAUGUCGGCUCAUCGCAUCCUGGGGCUGAAGUAGGUCCCAAGGGUUGGGCUGUUCGCCCAUUAAAGCGGUACGCGAGCUGGGUUCAGAACGUCGUGAGACAGUUCGGUCCCUAUCUGUCGUGGGCGUAGGAAAUUUGAGAGGAGCUGUCCUUAGUACGAGAGGACCGGGAUGGACGUACCGCUGGUGUACCAGUUGUUCCGCCAGGAGCACCGCUGGGUAGCUAUGUACGGAAGGGAUAAGCGCUGAAAGCAUCUAAGCGUGAAGCCCCCCUCAAGAUGAGAUUUCCCAGUAUGUAAGACCCCUUGAAGACGACGGGUAGAUAGGUUGGGGGUGGAAGUGCAGUAAUGCAUGGAGCUGACCAAUACUAAUCGGUCGAGGGCUUAUCCU
rnacentral:rRNA from 1 species